GUAAAAGGUACAUAAUAGCGAUACAAUUUCUAAGAAACUGAGCGAGAAGCCAUGAAUGGACCUCCCUAGAGGAAAUUGCUUGUCUGUAAUCUGUUAUAAAAGCAGCGUUAUAGAUGCUUAAGUUAGCUCGAUAUAGGCAAAGAGGAGCAUGGAUUCCAUGAAUUGAAAGAAUAGAUAGUCAGCAAACAGAGAGCUGGAAGAAUAACCGACUGAUCAAUAUAGACAGGCGAGAUUAGCAGGGGGAAAAAGCGCAUAUGAGAGAUCCAGAAAGGGACAUGGCAAGAUAAAUUUUUAAAGAAAUGUGAAAAGAAACAAGCAAAACUAAGAGAGGAAACUAGCCCGGGGGAGCUUUGCCAACCAGCAGCAUCCACCAGAUUUUGGAACUUGGCAUGAAGCCUAUGUUGGUUUGCAGCUAUCUGCAAAGAGAUUAGAUUAGUUCAACCCACUUUUAGCCUAUGUUGGUUUCCAUGUGCCUCUCUCAUAUGCGUUUUUGUCCCUCGGCCGAUCUCAUCCAUGUCAGCUGAGAUCUAUACAAGCAUUAUUCUGUUCAAAGACAGGGAUGGUAUGAUUUUAUCCAGGUCAUGAUAAUCUAGUUUUCUUCUGAACCAUUAUGCCUUGUUGGUUUCCUUUCUCUGUAAUCAGGUAGCUCUUGUGAUCGGAAAAGAAGACAUCUUGGUUUGCUUUCCCUGAAUCAAACUGAGGAGGAAUCUUAUGAUUUAUGGGAAAUCUUGAGGUGUGUAAAUUGGGACUUUUCUCAGACCUUUCAGAACCGAGUCAAGACAAGCCCUUCCUUCGAAAACCGCGGGUGGCUCUGUGGCUCACAAGGAAGGAGGAGAUUUUGAAUUCUUGUCUGGAUUCUCAUCAAAGUUAAAGGAAUUUCCAAGAGCAAUGGGAUGGGUUAGUUCUGGUGGAAAAAAAGGAAAACGUGGGGAAAGUAACUUCUAUGAGAAGCAAAGGUCAAGAUAUAGCAAGGGGCAAAAAGGAAGGAAAUAUGAUUUUGGCAAAAGCAAAGUGCAGCGACGGAGAUACGAUUCAUGGAAGCUACAGAACUGCUUCCCAAGAUCCCAUCCCAUCAUUUGCUACUCCUAUUUUCCACACCAGCUCGCCUCCAUUGAAAGACUUUUCAUUUUGAAAAGUCCCGUUUAGGCUACUAAUGGUCCCAGCAGUCAAAUAAUCCUUGUGACUAGGCCACUACAAACUUUCCACUGGUUGGGAAACCAUGUUACAAGGAAUCAUUCUUGAAAAACGGAAAGAAAGGUUAAAUAAACGGAUCUGUUGCUCUCGUCCUUCAAUAUUUUAAUGCAAAAUUUCAGCUAUUUUUGUUUAUAAA